CUACUACUCCAUCCGUUCGAAAAUACUUGUCGUAGAAAUAGUUGUACUUAGAUUUGUUUUAGUUAUAGAUACAUUCAUUUUAUCCAUUUCUAGGGCAAGUAUUUUCGGACAGAGGAAGUAUUAA
rnacentral:pre_miRNA from 1 species